rnacentral:rRNA from 1 species
GAUGAACGCUGGCGGCGUGCCUAAUACAUGCAAGUCGAGCGAACGGACGAGAAGCUUGCUUCUCUGAUGUUAGCGGCGGACGGGUGAGUAACACGUGUAUAACCUACCUAUAAGACUGGGAUAACUUCGGGAAACCGGAUCUAAUACCGUAUAAUAUUUUGAACCGCGUGGUUCAAAAGUGAAAUACGGUCUUGCUGUCACGUAUAGAUGGAUCUGCGCUGCAUUAGCUAGUUGGUAAGGUAACGGCUUACCAAGGCAACGAUGCAUAGCCGACCUGAGAGGCGGAUAGGCGGCACGGGAACUGAGCCGGGGACCUGACUACUGAGAGAGGGCGCAGAAGCGUAUGUUACGCAACAGGCGGAAGCCUGGCAGAACGGCGCGGAGUGAGAGGUGGCAGUCCUCGGAUCGUAAAAAUCUGUUAUUAGGGAAAAACCUAUGUGUAAGGAACUGAGCAGAUAUUGACGGUAACUAAUAAGAAAGCAACGGCUAACUACGUG